AGAAUCAACGCUGGCGGCGUGCCUAACACAUGCAAGUCGAACGAGAAAGUGGGAGCAAUCCAUGAGUAAAGUGGCGCACGGGUUGAGUAACACGUGACUAACCUACCCUUGAGUGGGGGAUAACCUAGGGAACCUGGGGCUAAUACCGCAUAAUACCUUCGGGUCAAAGGAGCAAUUCGCUUAAGGAGGGGGUCGCGGCCGAUUAGUUAGUUGGCGGGGUAAUGGCCCACCAAGACUGUGAUCGGUAU
rnacentral:rRNA from 1 species